rnacentral:rRNA from 1 species
UGAGUACGAGCUGCUACGGCAGCGAAGUUGGUGAUGUCAAGCUUCCAAGAAAAGCUCUAUACCCGUUAAGGCAUAACUGCCAGUACCCGAAACCGACACAGGUGGGGUGGUAGAGAAUACCGAGGUGCGCGAGGCAACUCUCUCUAAGGAACUCGGCAAAAUGGCCCCGUAACUUCGGGAGAAGGGGUGCCACAGCAAUGUGGUCGCAGUGAAGAGGCCCUGGCGACUGUUUACCAAAAACACAGGUCUCCGCUAAGUCGCAAGACGAUGUAUGGGGGCUGACGCCUGCCCAGUGCCGGAAGGUUAAGGAAGCCGGUCAGCGUAAGCGAAGCUGGCGACUGAAGCCCCGGUGAACGGCGGCCGUAACGAUAACGGUCCUAAGGUAGCGAAAUUCCUUGUCGGGUAAGUUCCGACCCGCACGAAAGGCGUAACGAUCAGGGCGCUGUCUCGGAGAGAGGCUCGGCGAAAUAGAAUUGUCUGUGAAGAUGCGGACUACAUACACCCGGACAGAAAGACCCUAUGAAGCUUUACUGUAGCUUGGUAUUGUGCCCGGGCUCUGAAUGCGCAGGAUAGGUGGGAGACGUUGAUCUAGUGCUCGUGGGUACUAGGGAGUCAAUGGUGAGAUACCACUCUUUCAGAGCUAGGGUUCUAACGUUCACCCGUUAUCCGGGGAGCGGACAGUAUCAGGUGGGCAGUUUGACUGGGGCGGUCGCCUCCUAAAAGGUAACGGAGGCGCGCAAAGGUUUCCUCAGGCUGGUUGGAAAUCAGCCGACGAGUGCAAAAGCAGAAGGAAGCUUGACUGUGAGACCUACAAGUCGAACAGGGACGAAAGUCGGCUUUAGUGAUCCGACGGUUCUGAGUGGAAGGGCCGUCGCUCAACGGAUAAAAGUUACUCUAAGGAUAACAGGCUGAUCUCCCCCAAGAGUUCACAUCGACGGGGAGGUUUGGCACCUCGAUGUCGGCUCAUCGCAACCUGGGGCUGAAGUCGGUCCCAAGGGUUGGGCUGUUCGCCCAUUAAAGCGGUACGCGAGCUGGGUUCAGAACGUCGUGAGACAGUUCGGUCCAUAUCCGGUGUAUGCGUAGGAAUAUUGAGAGGAUUUCUCCCUAGUACGAGAGGACCGGGAGGAACGCACCUCUGGUGUACCAGUUAUCGUGCCAACGGUAAACGCUGGGUAGCCAUGUGCGGAGUGGAUAACCGCUGAAAGCAUCUAAGUGGGAAGCCCACCUCAAGAUGAGUAUUCCCAUGGGGUAACCAGUAAGGUCACGGGAAGAACACCCGUUGAUAGGCUCUACGUCGAAGUUCAGUAAUGGAUGCAGCGGAGGAGUACUAAUAGACC